rnacentral:rRNA from 1 species
UACGUAGGGGGCAAGCGUUGUCCGGAUUUAUUGGGCGUAAAGAGCGUGUAGGCGGCCAGAUAGGUCCGUUGUGAAAACUGGAGGCUUAACCUCCAGCUGUCGAUGGAAACCAUCUGGCUAGAGUCCGGAAGAGGAGAGUGGAAUUCCUGGUGUAGCGGUGGAAUGCGCAGAUAUCAGGAGGAACACCAACGGCGAAGGCAGCUUGCUGGGACGAUACUGACGCUAAGGCGCGAAAGCGUGGGGAGCGAACAGG